AAUAUUGGACAAUGGGCGAAAGCCUGAUCCAGCCAUUCCGCGUGUGUGAAGAAGGUGUUCGGUUUGUAAAGCACUUUAAGUUGGGAGGGAGUGUAGUAAGUUAAUACCUUGUUGUUUUGACGUUACCUACAGAAUAAUCACCGGCUAACUUCGUUACAGCAGCCGCGGUAAUACGAAGGGUGCAAGCGUUAACCGGAAUUACUGGGCGGAAAGCGCGCGUAGGUGGUUCGUUUAGUUGGAUGUGGAAGCCCCGGGCUCAACCUGGGAACUGCAACCAAAACUGGCGAGCUAGAGAACGGUAGAGGGUGGUAGAAUUUCCUGUGUAGCGGUUAAAUGCGUAGAUAUAGGAAGGAACACCAGUGGCGAAGGCGACCACCUGGACUGAUACUGACACUGAGGUGCGAAAGCGUGGGGAGCAAACAGG
rnacentral:rRNA from 1 species